CUACGGGGUGCUGCAGUGGGGGAUAUUGCACAAUGGAGGAAACUCUGAUGCAGCAACGCCGCGUGGAGGAUGACACUUUUCGGAGCGUAAACUCCUUUUAUAUAGGAAGAAGAUGACGGUACUAUAUGAAUAAGCGCCGGCUAACUCCGUGCCAGCAGCCGCGGUAAUACGGAGGGCGCAAGCGUUACUCGGAAUCACUGGGCGUAAAGAGCGUGUAGGCGGAUUAAAAAGUCAGAAGUGAAAUCCUAUAGCUUAACUAUAGAACUGCCUCUGAAACUCUUAAUCUAGAAUAUGGGAGAGGUAGAUGGAAUUUCUGGUGUAGGGGUAAAAUCCGUAGAGAUCAGAAGGAAUACCGAUUGCGAAGGCGAUCUACUAGAACAUUAUUGACGCUGAGACGCGAAAGCGUGGGGAGCAAACAGGAUUAGAUACCCUCGUAGUC
rnacentral:rRNA from 1 species